rnacentral:rRNA from 1 species
UCCCCUAGUAACGGCGAGUGAAGCGGGAAGAGCUCAAAUUUGAAAUCUGGCGGUCUACGGCCGUCCGAGUUGUAAUCUAGAGAGGUGUUUUCCGUGCCGGACCGUGUACAAGUCCCUUGGAACAGGGCGUCAUAGAGGGUGAGAAUCCCGUCCAUGACACGGACUACCGGUGCUCUGUGAUACACCUUCAAAGAGUCGAGUUGUUUGGGAAUGCAGCUCAAAAUGGGUGGUAAAUUCCAUCUAAAGCUAAAUACAGGCGAGAGACCGAUAGCGAACAAGUACCGUGAGGGAAAGAUGAAAAGAACUUUGGAAAGAGAGUUAAACAGUACGUGAAAUUGUUGAAAGGGAAACGCUUGAAGUCAGUCGCGUCUGCCAGGACUCAGCCUUGCUUCUGCAUGGUGCAUUUCCUGGUGGAUGGGCCAGCAUCGAUUUUGGUCGCCGGACAAGGGCGGGAGGAAUGUGGCAGCUUGCUGUGUUAUAGCCUCCCGUCGUACACGGUGGUUGGGAUCGAGGACUGCAGCACGCCUUUGGUCGGGGUUCGCCCACGCCACGUGCUUAGGAUGCUGGCGUAAUGGCUUUAAACGACCCGUCUUGAAACACGGACCAAGGAGUCUAACAUGCCUGCGAGUGUUUGGGCGUUAAACCCAGGCGCGUAAUGAAAGUGAAAAGUUGGGACUCUUUAGUGAGGCACCGACGCCCGAUCCUGACGUUCUCUGACGGAUUUGAGGUAGAGCAUGUAUGUUGGGACCCGAAAGAUGGUGAACUAUGCCUGAAUAGGGUGAAGCCAGAGGAAACUCUGGUGGAGGCUCGUAGCGAUUCUGACGUGCAAAUCGAUCGUCAAAUUUGGGUAUAGGGGCGAAAGACUAAUCGAACCAUCUAGUAGCU